GGCAUGCCCACCAUGAUGCACCCGGCACUACCAGUCCCAGGUACACAAACGCGCUGCCUCUUUCACCCACCCGAGCAAGCAGGGAGGCCAGCACGCGAGCAGCCACGCUGCCCCCCAGCAGCAGAUAUUCUACGCCUGGCCCCCACCUCCUCCAUGACCCCGGGGCCCAACUCCCGCAGGCCAACUUGUCCACGGCGCAGCACGGGUACAACCAGACACACAUGGCCCACGUGCAGCAGAAUUGAUCAUCUACAUGACUGCUGGAAAAGGCACCCCUUCCAGAUGGUGUAGAAAAAAGACUUUCAACCUCAGAUCUUCAUAAUUUACAAACACGCAAAGCCUUUCCUUCCAACUGUCUUGUUUCCUUCCAACUGUCUUGUUUUGUUUCCUUCCAACUGUCUUGUUUCCAAAUAAAAUUAUACUUGCUCUUUUACCUGGGCCACAUAACACCCAGGUGUCACUGUUGCAAAUCAUCCAGGGGGGACACGGCCCCCCCUGCCCUGGUUCUCCAGGGAUUCCAGUCAACUGCAGCGGGUAUCGUACCACUCACAUGGCACUCCGAGCCCGCCAGUGGCUUUACGCUCACCUGACUCUUCAUCGUUGGCGAGCACCUAACCCAUGAUGCCACAGAAUCCCGGCGAUAACAGACCUUUUCUCCGGGCGUUUUUCAAGUGCCUCUUCCAACCUGCGCUUUAAAAUUUGGCACCGAGAAUCAAACCUUGAACCUUUCGGUUUCAAGGCAGCCGCUCUCCUCACUGAGCCAUCCGGGCUACAACAGACUUCUUCUCCGGGCGUUUUUCAAGUGCUUCCUCCAAUGCGUGCUUUAAAACUUAGCACCGGGAAUCAAACCUUCAACCUUUCGGUUUCAAGGCAGCCGCUCUCCUCACUGAGCCAUCUGGGCUACAACAGACCUCUUCUCCGGGCGUUUUUCAAGUGCUUCCUCCAAUGCGUGCUUUAAAACUCAACACUGGGAAUCAAACCUUCAACCUUUCGGUUUCAAGACAGCCACUUUCCUCACCGAGCCAUCCGGGCUAUAAGAGACUUUUUCUCCGGGCGUUUUUCAAGUGCGUCUUCAAAUCUGUUUUUUUAAAACUCAACACCGGGAAUCAAACCUUCAACCUUUCGGUUUCGAGACAGCCGCUCUCCUCACCGAGCCAUCCGGGCUAUAAGAGACUUUUUCUCUGGGCGUUUUUCAAGUGCGUCUUCAAAUCUGUUUUUUUAAAACUCAACACCGGGAAUCAAACCUUCAACCUUUCGGUUUCGAGGCAGCCGCCCUCCUCACUGAGCCAUCUGGGCUGUAACAAAUCUUUUCUCCGGGCGUUUAUCACAAUCAGAAUCAGAAUGGGUGUUUAUUCGCCAUGAAAGUUGGCACAGACAAGGAAUUUACAUUGGCAGGAGAGCCUACCAACCAGGAAACCUUAAACCUUUUGGUUUCAAGGUAGCUGCUCUCCUCACUGAGGCAUUGGCCCUGUUGAGAUAUGAUCACUGCUCUUGGGUACUUACAUUUAAAUUUAGUCAUUUAGCAGACACUCUUAUCCAGAGCGACUUACAGUAAAUACAGGGACAUUCCCCCCGAGGCAAGUAGGGUGAAGUGCCUUGCCCAAGGACACAAUGUAAUUUGGCACGUCGGGGAAUCAUUCCGGCAACCUUUGGAUUAGUAGCCCAAAUCCCUCACCGCUCAGCCAUCUGACUCCCACUUACUUAACUGGAAUGAAGACAUGCACAUUGAGUAGCUAGAUUAAAAGUUGAAUCAAAUCUCAAACCUUUGGGUUUCAAGGCAGCUUCACUCCUCACUGAGCCAUUGGGACUGCUAAGUUAUUGUCACUCCACUUGGGCACUUCACUGGAAGCCUUGCACAUUGAGUAGCUCAAUUAAAACUCACAUGUUUUCACACGA